AGAGUUUGAUCCUGGCUCAGGAUGAACGCUAGCGACAGGCUUAACACAUGCAAGUCGAGGGGCAGCGGGGGUGCAGGCUUGCCUGCACCUGCCGGCGACCGGCGCACGGGUGAGUAACACGUAUGGAACCUGCCCGCCACAGGGGGAUAACCCGGGGAAACCCGGCCUAAUACCCCAUGCCGCCCGGACCGGGCAUCCGGUCCGGGCGAAAGGAGUAAUCCGGUGGCGGCUGGGCAUGCGGCGCAUUAGCUUGACGGCGGGGUAACGGCCCACCGUGGCGACGAUGCGUAGGGGUUCUGAGAGGAAGGCCCCCCACACUGGAACUGAGACACGGUCCAGACUCCUACGGGAGGCAGCAGUGAGGAAUAUUGGUCAAUGGGCGGAAGCCUGAACCAGCCAAGUCGCGUGAGGGAAUAAGGCCCUACGGGUCGUAAACCUCUUUUGCCGGGGAGCAAGGGCCGGGACGUGUCCCGGCCCGGAGAGUACCCGGAGAAAAAGCAUCGGCUAACUCCGUGCCAGCAGCCGCGGUAAUACGGAGGAUGCGAGCGUUAUCCUGAUUUAUUGGGUUUAAAGGGUGCGUAGGCGGGCUUUUAAGUCAGCGGUAAAAAUUCGGGGCUCAACCCCGUCCGGCCGUUGAAACUGGGGGCCUUGAGUGGGCGAGAAGAAGGCGGAAUGCGUGGUGUAGCGGUGAAAUGCAUAGAUAUCACGCAGAACCCCGAUUGCGAAGGCAGCCUUCCGGCGCCCUACUGACGCUGAGGCACGAAAGUGCGGGGAUCGAACAGGAUUAGAUACCCUGGUAGUCCGCACAGUAAACGAUGGAUGCCAGCUGUCCGGGCCGAAUGGGGCCUGGGUGGCAAAGCGAAAGCGUUAAGCAUCCCACCUGGGGAGUACGCCGGCAACGGUGAAACUCAAGGGAAUUGACGGGGGCCCGCACAAGCGGAGGAACAUGUGGUUUAAUUCGAUGAUACGCGAGGAACCUUACCCGGGCUCAAACGCGUCAGGGAUCCCCUUCGAAAGGAGGGGAGUCAGCAAUGACCUGGCGCGAGGUGCUGCAUGGUUGUCGUCAGCUCGUGCCGUGAGGUGUCGGCUUAAGUGCCAUAACGAGCGCAACCCCUACCGACAGUUGCUAACUGGUGAAGCAGAGGACUCUGUCGGGACUGCCGGCGCAAGCUGCGAGGAAGGCGGGGAUGACGUCAAAUCAGCACGGCCCUUACGUCCGGGGCGACACACGUGUUACAAUGGCAGGUACAGCGGGAAGCCACCGGGCGACCGGGCGCGGAACCCGAAACCCUGUCUCAGUUCGGAUCGGAGUCUGCAACCCGACUCCGUGAAGCUGGAUUCGCUAGUAAUCGCGCAUCAGCCACGGCGCGGUGAAUAAGUUCCCGGGCCUUGUACACACCGCCCGUCA
rnacentral:rRNA from 1 species